UCGCGGGUGGAAGUCCCGUCCGGGUAGACACCGGAGUGCCCGGUAGCAGGUCCCGGUUCGUCGUGGAGACGCGGCGGGCUGAGCGGGAUGUCAAGAGCCUCUUUGGAGGAAGCGAGCACGCGGGCCGUAGCGUGA
rnacentral:ncRNA from 1 species